rnacentral:rRNA from 1 species
ACGGGUGAGUAACGCGUGAGUAACCUGCCUUUCAGAGGGGGAGUAACGUUCUGAAAAGAAACGCUAAUACCGCAUAACAUCAAUUUAUCGCAUGAUAGGUUGAUCAAAGGAGCAAUCCGCUGGAAGAUGGACUCGCGUCCGAUUAGCCAGUUGGCGGGGUAACGGCCCACCAAAGCGACGAUCGGUAGCCGGACUGAGAGGUUGAACGGCCACAUUGGGACUGAGACACGGCCCAGACUCCUACGGGAGGCAGCAUG